rnacentral:rRNA from 1 species
UGCAUGGUUGUCGUCAGCUCGUGUCGUGAGAUGUUGGUUAAGUCCCGCAACGAGCGCAACCCCUGUGGUUAGUUUGCCAGCAAGUAGCGUUGGGCACUCUAGCCAGACUGCCGGUGAUAAAUCGGAGGAAGGUGGGGACGACGUCAAAUCAUCAUGCCCUUUUAUGUCCUGGGCUACACACGUACUACAAUGGCCGUUACAACGGGAAGCGAAGGAGCAAUCCGGAGCAAAUCCCUUAAAGGCGGUCCCAGUUCAGAUUGUGGGCUGAAACUCGCCCACAUGAAGGCGGAAUUGCUAGUAAUUGCAGAUCAGCAUGCUGCAGUCGAAUACGUUCCCGGGCCUU